rnacentral:rRNA from 1 species
CCCCUAGAUGUUCUGGGCCGCACGCGCGCUACACUGAACAGUUCAACAAGUCUUAACCUUGGCCGAUAGGUCUGGGUAAUCUUUGAACGCUGUUCGUGAUUGGGAUAGACCUUUGCAAUUAUGGGUCUUCAACGAGGAAUUCCUAGUAAACGCAAGUCAUCAGCUUGCAUUGAUUACGUCCCUGCCCUUUGUACACACCGCCCGUCGCACCUACCGAUUGAAUGGUCCGGUGAAGCGUUCGGACCGUGGCCUUUGGACGGUUCGCCGUCUGUUGGCUGCGGGAAGUUCGCUAAACCUUAUCAUUUAGAGGAAGGAGAAGUCGUAACA